rnacentral:rRNA from 9 species
CAUGUCUUUUUGAGUUUAAUUUAAAGUCUGAUCUGCUCAAUGAAUAUUAAAUAGCCGCAGUAUUUUAACUGUGCGAAGGUAGCAUAAUAAUUAGUUUCUUAAUUAGAAACUGGAAUGAAUGAUUGGACAAGAAAAUAUCUGUCUCUUUUUUAAAUUUUUUGAAUUUUAUUUUUAAGUGAAAAAGCUUAAAUUUUUAUAAAAGACGAGAAGACCCUAUAGAGUUUUAUAUUAUUAAGUAAUUUAAAUUUAGAAAUAAAAUUUUAUUUAAUUUUAUUUGAUUGGGGUGAUUUAAAGAUAAAAAAAAUUCUUUAAUUUGUAAAUUGGUGAUUUCUAAAUUAAAAAUCUAUAUUUUAUAAAAAUAAAAUAAAUUACCUUAGGGAUAACAGCGUAAUUUUUCUUUAAAGUUCACAUUAAAAGGAAAGUUUGCGACCUCGAUGUUGGAUUAAAAUUAAUUUUUGGUGCAAUAACUUAAAAAUUAGGUCUGUUCGACCUUUAAAAUUUUACAUGAUCUGAGUUUAAAUCGGCGUGAGCCAGGUUGGAUUCUAUCUUUAGAAUAUUAAUAUAUUUUAGUACGAAAGGACCAAAUAUUUAUUAAAUUAAUUG